ACUCCUACGGGAGGCAGCAGUGGGGAAUAUUGCGCAAUGGGCGGAAGCCUGACGCAGCGACGCCGCGUGGGGGAUGACGGCCUUCGGGUUGUAAACCUCUUUCGGCCUUGACGAAGCUCUUCGGGGUGACGGUAGGGGUAGAAGAAGCACCGGCCAACUACGUGCCAGCAGCCGCGGUAAUACGUAGGGUGCGAGCGUUGUCCGGAAUUAUUGGGCGUAAAGAGCUCGUAGGCGGUCUGUCGCGUCGGUCGUGAAAACUUGGGGCUUAACCCUGAGCUUGCGGUCGAUACGGGCAUGACUGGAGUUCGGCAGGGGAGACUGGAAUUCCUGGUGUAGCGGUGAAAUGCGCAGAUAUCAGGAGGAACACCGGUGGCGAAGGCGGGUCUCUGGGCCGAUACUGACGCUGAGGAGCGAAAGCGUGGGGGAGCGAACAGGAUUAGAUACCCUGGUAGUCCACGCCGUAAACGGUGGGCGCUAGGUGUGGGGGCCAUUCCACGGUCUCUGUGCCGCAGCU
rnacentral:rRNA from 1 species